rnacentral:rRNA from 1 species
GUCCUUUAGUUAAGAAUAAUUUAAGGUCUAACCUGCCCAUUGAUUAAAUUAAAAGGCCGCAGUAAUUUGACUGUGCAAAGGUAGCAUAAUCAUUAGUUUUUUAAUUAAAAGCUUGUAUGAAUGGUUGGACGAGAUAAAAUCUGUCUCUUUAUAAAAAUUAGAAUUUAAUUUUUAAGUUAAAAAGCUUAAAUUUGAGUAAAAGACGAGAAGACCCUAUAGAUCUUUAUAUAAUUUUUUUUAGUAUUAAUAAAGAAAAUUUUAUUUAUUAAUUAAUUUUAUAUUUUAUUGGGGUAAUAAAAAGAUUAAAUAAAUUCUUUAAAAUUUAACAAAAAUUAUUGAUUAUAUGAUCCAUUUUUAAUGAUUAUAAGAUUAAGUUACCUUAGGGAUAACAGCGUAAUUUUUUUAGAGAGUUCUUAUCAAUAAAAAAGUUUGCGACCUCGAUGUUGGAUUAAAAGUAAUUUUGGGUGUAGAAGUUCAAAAUUUUGGUCUGUUCGACCAUUAAAUUUU